GUCAGAAGUUCUUAGUUACUCUAUUAGCUCAUUUUUGUAAUCACUAUAAUAUUUCUAACUUUCCAGAUGGCUAAAACUCACUGAAAUAUUGUGCGUGGACAAUUGAAAAAUAUUCUAUGAGCUAUUAAAAUGCUCUACAGAAAAAUAUUAUCUCAGUAGUUAAUAAUAGACUAUUUCUAAAAAAAACUAAAAUACUUAUUUCUUUUGCUAUUAACCCUAGUUCUGCAUUUCAGGUGCUUAUGCUGCUUGACUCAUUGCAACGUCCCUGGAAAGGUUUUCAUGAACUACCUACUCUUCAUUGGUAUUCACAGUCACAGGGCACUCCUUGAGAUUGUAAAUGAGCUGCCUCCAGUCCUCUCCAGUCCUUCCCUAUGGAAAUGAGUCUGCAUCUCCCAUUUCCAGAACAACACCCUACUGACUAGUCAUAGGAUGUUAUGGUGCAGGAUGCUCUGUGGUUCUUGGUGAAACACCUGUUGGAGCAGGGAACAGGUGACACAACACCCUUUUCCUAAUGCUACUGAAUAAGAAUAAGCUCUUGCUCAUCUUUACAGUUUGAAGGAGGUGCAGCAUCUUCAAGGAACAAGCUGAAGAGUGCCUCCUACCAGAAAGCCUUACCUCAAGAGCUGGUAGAGGAUUCAUGAAAAAGAGGGCAGAUUUAUAUUCCAGCUUUUGAACCAACAUCUUCUAUCUUUCAUACACAUGCUCUAGUGAGCAUUAAUACUGGGGACAAUCCUCACUGACUGUAACAUUAGAGUGUUCCUUUUUGCAUGAAACGAUUUAGACUUCAACUGAACCACACAGCAAGCGAGAUGCUCACUAGUCUGUUGGGAAGAAAAGUCACGAAUGGAAAUGGAGACUAGAAUUCAAAGAGAAGCUGUAUCUUGGUCUCCCAGAUUGUAAAUACUUGUCUAGAGGAGAAUUUAAUGUCCUGCUUAUUCAGCGCAAAACAUGAAUUUUAUAUUUUUCUCAUAAAAAACAAGCCCAUAAUAAAAAAAUCAUCAUGGCUCA
rnacentral:lncRNA from 1 species